UUUAAAUGUAAAAUAAAUAUACUAAAGUAGUAUUAGUUAUGUUCUUGAAAUUUAAAGAUUUUGGCGGUAUUUUAGUCUAUUUAGAGGAGCCUGUUCUAUAAUUGAUAAUCCACGAUUAAUUUUACUUAAUUUAUAUAAAUUUGUAUACCGUCGUUAUAAGAAGAUUUUAAAAGAAUAUAAAUUUUUAAUAUUUUAUAUAAAAAAAUAUAUCAGAUCAAGGUGCAGUUUAUAGUUAAGAAGAAAUGGGCUACAAUAAAUUUAUUUAUAUGGAUUAAAGUAAGAAUUUGACUUUAUGAAAGUGGAUUUAAUAGUAAUAAAAUUAAUUUAAAUUUUAUGAUUUUAGCUCUAAAAUAUG
rnacentral:rRNA from 1 species